UGCACACCUUGGCCCCUGGGGGCAGCAUUAAACAGAUAUACCGAUCGAUAUACUGUGUUGGAGCCUCAGCCCCUCGCCUGGCAUCUCAAUACGGCACAAAUAUUUGGCGGUCUUCAUUGAGAAUCAAGAAUGCAUGCUAUUGGAGAGAAAAAAUUCGGGAGGGGUUCAAGAGGAAACCAGCACUCUUACUGCAAGGGAAAGGAAACAUCUGAGACAUAAGAUAAGUUCUUUACACCUUUGAAACAGGAAACUGAUGAGAUAUUGACAAAAAGCUCUUUACAUAUUACUAUAACACAAUAUCACCGUAAACUAAUGGCCAUUCUAGGAUUUAGGACAUUUUCUUUCAUGAUCAUUUCAAUUACCUGGACUGGGCUCAGAAGAGAGAUGUCAAUCAACUUCCUGUCAUACGGUACCAAGGACACAGUGUCAAAGGUCAAGUAGUUAUGACCAUACUGUAAGUCAAAAACAGAGCCAAUUACCAUACACCGCUUAUUAAUAAUACAUGACUAAAUGAUCGGUGAGUACUUUUGUAUGGAUGGGCACAACCACUACAACAUCUUCAAUGCGAAUCCCAAAGUCAUUAUCUUUGUAAUAUCCAGGUUCUGUGAACAAAAUCAGGCACAACCCCCCCAAAAUAGCAUACUGUGAAUUUAAUUUUCAUUCAAAUCUACAAAUGAUGUAUUUUUAAAAUGAAAAGUCUCACCUAUCGACGUGAACAUGCCUUCUCUAAAGGGAAUGUUGUUACUCUGGAAACCAACAGGCCCUAAACAAAAACAGGAGUGUAUAUUAGUAUUAUUUACUGUAUCAAUUGUAUUAUUUAUAAUGUAAAAAAAAAAUACAAAUAAGUGAAAAUAGUGAAGAGUGAGAAUAACUGGAAUAAGUGGAAUAAAACAAUCAAACUCGAAAUAAUAAUCAUAAUAAUAAUAAUCAAACAACUUACAAAACAGAAAACUACAUAAAGAUAAUCGGUUAUAAUAGUAUUUGGAAUUUAUAAUAGUAUUUGUUAAGUGUAUUAUUCACAAUAAUAGUUAUAAUAGUAUUUGGAUGUUAUAAUAGUAUUUGUUAAGUGUAUUAUUCACAAAAACAUUAAGUAGAACAAUACUAAGAAUAUUAAAAAAUAAAAUGAUUACUUGCAAAGAAUAUAAAAUAUAAAACUAGUUAAUAACAGUAAAGCAUAAUAGUAUUAAUUAAGUCUAGAAUGUUAUCUAUGAUCAAAACAAUAGCCAUUGAACUAAAAAAUGCUAAAUAAAAAACUUGCAAAUACAGUACAUUACAAGUAAGGAAUCCUACAAAAUUAACAGAAAUACAGAAAUAAUUUAAUUUUGUUAGUGUAUUAUUCAUUAUAAAAAUAAGUAUUUAAAAAUUAUAUGCACAUAAGAAUAAAAAUGAAAAUUGAAAUAAAAUAUGAGUAAAAAAACAAUACAAGUAAAAAUGUAAUCAAAUAAUUUUUAAAAUGUUAAGUAUUUUAACAACAACAACAACAACAAAACAACACAUUACUACAAAUAGCAUUUAUAGUUUUUGGGCCGAAUGCAAUUUUGGUUUGAGGUUCUUCUCAAUUGAUUUCCAAAGUAUUAUAUUAUACAGUUGUAUUUAUUUUUUGUACAAUAUAUUUGCAGUUGAUCUUUAAGAGAUGUUUAUUUGUAAACAAUUUUCGUUUAACUUUUGAAUUAUUUAAGUAUAGUUAAAAAUACAUAUAGCCCUUCGUCAAUGUCCAAUGUUACUUAGAGUAAAAGGUUUAAGAAGUAGAGUUUAAACAUAUUCUGUGUGAGUAAAUAUGAGACAAAAGAGGCGGCGUACACUCGUGAACACCGAAAUAAUUGCCGACUCCGUGUCCUGUGCCGUGGCCAUAGUUGAGGCCCACUUCCCACAGUGCUCUGCGACCCAGCAUCUCCAAGUUUACACCUGGCGGCAGACCACAAGCUUAUACACUCAGACAUCCUGCUGCAACCUCAGCAACAGUACAAUGUUACCAUCUAGUGGUUACUUGAUACACUACGAUUUUAGCUACUGAUGAAUGAAAAUUCCCCACCUCUGGUCCCUGAAGGAAAUAUGGUUCUAGAUAUUUCAAUAUUUCCAAUGAGCACUCUGGUGUAGGCCUCCUAGUUAACAACAAUAUAAUUCAACUUUAGUUUAUUUCAGACUACAAAAAUGUCAACAUGGAAGCACAUUUCUUAUAGUGUUGCCUUGAGAUACUACAAAUUAGUAUGACUAUGAAUCAGAUGCGUAGUGUUACCUUUUGCAUAGCAGUGGGGGUCCCCCAGUGGACUGUCCUAGUGAUGUCCGUGGUCCCGUCUCUGAUGUGGUGGAGAGAAAUCAUGACACCAAAGUGACACACAUACUUUAUGUGUGUGUGUGUGUGUGUGUGUUGUUACUCACAGGUACUGACCACCAGAGUCCACCAGGUACAUCUCCUCCACUGUCAGGUGCCUGUUGCUUUCGACUGUUGGGCUGCAGCAUGAGAAGCGCAAUUUAACAAUGACCAGCUUAUUUGCGUAUUGAGACUGACCUGCGACAGUGAUUGACAUACGCUGAGGCGCUCAGCUCCGUCUCCUUUCCCGUCGGCACCGCCUUCUCCAACCACAUGAGAAGCUGCAUGACAGCCACGGCAUCUCUCACCUGGAACGAAGCAACAAUAAUCCAUGCGUAAUUGGUGUACUCGGUGCCGAUCCACACUUUGACCUCCGGCCGGCUGCUCACGUACUCCUUGAGGUGAUCCAAGAUGGUGUCGUAGCUUUUCAGCUGCACACAGAACGGCCCACUGCAUGAGGCGUUCAGGUACGUCCUCAGCUCUUCUGUCACU